rnacentral:rRNA from 1 species
GUGGGGAAUAUUCCGCAAUGGACGAAAGUCUGACGGAGCAACGCCGAGUGAGUGAUGAAGGUUUUCGGACUGUAAAGCUCUGUUGUUUAGGACGAAAGUGCCUGUUGCAAAUAGUUACAGGUAUUGACGGUACUGAACGAGGAAGCCACGGCUAACUACGUGCCAGCAGCCGCGGUAAUACGUAGGUGGCAAGCGUUGUCCGGAAUUAUUGGGCGUAAAGAGCAUGUAGGCGGGAAUCUAAGACUGUUGUGAAAAUGCGGGGCUCAACCCCGUAUUGCGAUGGAAACUGGGUUUCUUGAGUGCAGGAGAGGAAAGGGGAAUUCCCAGUGUAGCGGUGAAAUGCGUAGAUAUUGGGAGGAACACCAGUGGCGAAGGCGCCUUUCUGGACUGUGUCUGACGCUGAGAUGCGAAAGCCAGGGUAGCGAACGGGAUUAGAUACCCUAGUAGUCC